rnacentral:sRNA from 1 species
AACGCGAUUCCUGAGUGUAGCAAUACAAACGGGAUGACUUCGGCGAAAGGGUGCGUAACGCGUGGGUAAUCUACCCUUGAGUUGGGGAUAACCUGCCGAAGGGCGGGCUAAUACCGAAUGUGGUGGUCUGGCGCAAGCCGGAUUGACUGAAGGCGGGGAUCUUCGGACCUGUCGCUCAAGGAGGAGCCCGCGUCCGAUUAGCUAGUUGGCGAGGUAACGGCUCACCAAGGCGAUGAUCGGUAGCCGGCCUGAGAGGGCACACGGCCACACUGGCACUGAAACACGGGCCAGACUCCUACGGGAGGCAGCAGUGGG